GACGGGACCCGCACAAGCGGUGGAUGAUGUGGAUUAAUUCGAUGCAACGCGAAAACCUUACCUACCUUGACAUGUCCGGAAUCCCGAAGAGAUUUGGGAGUGCUCGCAAGAGAGCCGUAACACAGGUGCUGCAUGGCUGUCGUCAGCUCGUGUCGUGAGAUGUUGGGUUAAGUCCCGCAACGAGCGCAACCCUUGUCAUUAGUUGCUACAUUCAGUUGGGCACUCUAAUGAGACUGCCGGUGACAAACCGGAGGAAGGUGGGGAUGACGUCAAGUCCUCAUGGCCCUUAUAGGUGGGGCUACACACGUCAUACAAUGGAUGGUACAAAGGGUCGCCAACCCGCGAGGGGGAGCCAAUCCCAUAAAGCCAUUCGUAGUCCGGAUCGCAGUCUGCAACUCGACUGCGUGAAGUCGGAAUCGCUAGUAAUCGUAUAUCAGCAAUGAUACGGUGAAUACGUUCCCGGACCUU
rnacentral:rRNA from 1 species